rnacentral:tRNA from 2 species
GGCUCAGUGGUCUAGUGGUAUGAUUGUCGCUUCGGGUAGUGUUCCCAGGCCUCCUUAGAGGUCUAAGAAAGCUGUAUGCUUGAAAUGUGACAGGCCCCGGGUUCGAUCCCCGGCUGAGCCC